rnacentral:lncRNA from 1 species
GGCCUCAGCCCCAGCUCUGGCAGAGCUCCCAGCACUGCUCUGACUUGCCGGUCAUAGAAGUGAGCUAUCUUGAAAGGAGUCUUUCAGGACACAGCCAGACUUCUUAUGCUGAAGCCACAUGAAGCAGAGAUGAGCCUUCCUCCUUCUGGAGUCUGUAAUGUUCUUCUGAUCAUUUUCACUGAUGGAUGAUCCUUCACAACAAGAUUUGGGAGAUUUAUGCAGUUAUGAUGAGAACCAGUAUAAACUUUCAAGGUGCUUCUUUUCUAAGGAACUCUAAAACUACUUGCCAUUUUGAUGAAGACUCAGUCCUGUGGGUGCAAGUCCAUGAAUCUCUCUGGUAGAGUUUGUGUUGAGAGCACAUGCCUGGAUGGACAGAACUCCCUCUUCAAAGAAAAGACUUUGAAAGCAAGAAUGAAGUUGGACAACUCUUCAAAUGGUUUCAGAAUUAGCCCUGGAAUAAGAUGAUAGAGAUC